UGGGGAAUAUUGCACAAUGGGCGCAAGCCUGACGCAGCGAUGCCGCGUGCGGGAUGAAGGCCCUAGGGUUGUAAACCGCUUUCAGCAGGGAAGAAAAUGACGGUACCUGCAGAAGAAGGUGCGGCCAACUACGUGCCAGCAGCCGCGGUGACACGUAGGCACCAAGCGUUGUCCGGAUUUACUGGGUGUAAAGCGCGUGCAGGCGGUUUGAUAAGUUGGAUGUGAAAGCUCCUGGCUCAACUGGGAGAGGUCGUUCAAAACUAUCAGACUAGAGAGUGGUAGAGGAAAGUGGAAUUCCCGGUGUAGUGGUGAAAUGCGUAGAUAUCGGGAGGAACACCAGUGGCGAAGGCGGCUUUCUGGACCAUUUCUGACGCUAAGACGCGAAAGCUAGGGUAGCAAACGGGAUUAGAGACCCCGGUAGUCCACGCCCUAAACUAUGUCAACUAGACGUUGGGUUCAUUAAGGAACUUAGUGUCGAAGCUAACGCGUUAAGUUGACCGCCUGGGGAGUACGGCCGCAAGGUUG
rnacentral:rRNA from 1 species